AGGAGAUUAGCUUUUUUCUUUUCUUUUUUUUUAUCAUCAUUUUUUAUUGCAUUAUUUUUUUGAAAAUAAACAUGCUAUGAUGCAAAUGAUGCAAUUAUGACUGGUUGGCUGUGUGUCUAGGAGCACAGGUUCAAAGUUUCGGCUUGAAUUCGGAACCACAAAGUCAUCUGAAACCCAUAUCUCUGAACCAAGUCACCAACGGGAACCAAUAGUCACCAACAGAUCAA
rnacentral:lncRNA from 1 species